rnacentral:lncRNA from 1 species
CUUGUGUAUACAGUGCAUAUUCAAAGCAACUUAUUUUACAUUUUGUGUAAAAAUAUAUUUUAAAACCAGACACUAUUUUAUUCCAUUUGGAGAAUUUCAAAAGCUCUAGCUGAAAAGCAGAUCUUUAAGUUUUUGGAGCAUUGAUUUGACAAGUAAAGUGAUAAAGGGAAACUUCUUCCUCAGAAGGAUUUGGAAAUUAGGUGGUAAGUAUCUCUCAUUUUAAAGGUGAGAAAUGUGUGGUUUUAAAAAAUAUAGUCCCCGUGAGAAAAGAUUAAGGGCACUUCUAGAACCAAGCAAAGAGUAAAUAAGUGUGGUUUGCUUUUUCUUUGGCACUA